rnacentral:rRNA from 1 species
UACGUAGGGGGCAAGCGUUGUCCGGAUUUAUUGGGCGUAAAGAGCGUGUAGGCGGUUAGGUAGGUCCGUUGUGAAAACUCGAGGCUCAACCUCGAGACGCCGAUGGAAACCAUCUAACUAGAGUCCGGAAGAGGAGAAUGGAAUUCCUGGUGUAGCGGUGAAAUGCGCAGAUAUCAGGAAGAACACCCGUGGCUAAGGCGGUUCUCUAGUACGGUACUGACGCUGAGACGCGAAAGCGUGGGUAGCAAACAGG